UAGGGGUUCUGAGAGGAAGGUCCCCCACAUUGGAACUGAGACACGGUCCAAACUCCUACGGGAGGCAGCAGUGAGGAGUAUUGGUCAAUGGACGAGAGUCUGAACCAGCCAAGUAGCGUGCAGGAUGACGGCCCUAUGGGUUGUAAACUGCUUUUAUAAGGGAAUAAAGUGAGUCUUGUGAGACUUUUUGCAUGUACCUUAUGAAUAAGGACCGGCUAAUUCCGUGCCAGCAGCCGCGGUAAUACGGAAGGUCCGGGCGUUAUCCGGAUUUAUUGGGUUUAAAGGGAGCGUAGGCCGGAGAUUAAGCGUGUUGUGAAAUGUAGACGCUCAACGUCUGCACUGCAGCGCGAACUGGUUUCCUUGAGUACGCACAAAGUGGGCGGAAUUCGUGGUGUAGCGGUGAAAUGCUUAGAUAUCACGAAGAACUCCGAUUGCGAAGGCAGCUCACUGGAGCGCAACUGACGCUGAAGCUCGAAAGUGCGGGUAUCGAACAGGAUUAGAUACCCUGGUAGUCCGCACGGUAAACGAUGGAUGCCCGCUGUUGGUCUGAAUAGGUCAGCGGCCAAGCGAAAGCAUUAAGCAUCCCACCUGGGGAGUACGCCGGCAACGGUGAAACUCAAAGGAAUUGACGGGGGCCCGCACAAGCGGAGGAACAUGUGG
rnacentral:rRNA from 1 species